UUGGGUAACACUAACUGGAGGACCGAACCGACUAAUGUUGAAAAAUUAGCGGAUGACCUGUGGCUGGGGGUGAAAGGCCAAUCAAACCGGGAGAUAGCUGGUUCUCCCCGAAAGCUAUUUAGGUAGCGCCUCGUGAAUUCAUCUCCGGGGGUAGAGCACUGUUUCGGCUAGGGGGCCAUCCCGGCUUACCAACCCGAUGCAAACUGCGAAUACCGGAGAAUGUUAUCACGGGAGACACACGGCGGGUGCUAACGUCCGUCGUGAAGAGGGAAACAACCCAGACCGCCAGCUAAGGUCCCAAAGUCAUGGUUAAGUGGGAAACGAUGUGGGAAGGCCCAGACAGCCAGGAUGUUGGCUUAGAAGCAGCCAUCAUUUAAAGAAAGCGUAAUAGCUCACUGGUCGAGUCGGCCUGCGCGGAAGAUGUAACGGGGCUAAACCAUGCACCGAAGCUGCGGCAGCGACACUCAGGUGUUGUUGGGUAGGGGAGCGUUCUGUAAGCCUGCGAAGGUGUGUCGUGAGGCAUGCUGGAGGUAUCAGAAGUGCGAAUGCUGACAUAAGUAACGAUAAAGCGGGUGAAAAGCCCGCUCGCCGGAAGACCAAGGGUUCCUGUCCAACGUUAAUCGGGGCAGGGUGAGUCGACCCCUAAGGCGAGGCCGAAAGGCGUAGUCGAUGGGAAACGGGUUAAUAUUCCCGUACUUGGUGUUACUGCGAAGGGGGGACGGAGAAGGCUAUGUUGGCCGGGCGACGGUUGUCCCGGUUUAAGCGUGUAGGUGUGUGUUCCAGGUAAAUCCGGUUCACUUUAACACUGAGGCGUGAUGACGAGGCACUACGGUGCUGAAGCAACAAAUGCCCUGCUUCCAGGAAAAGCCUCUAAGCAUCAGGUAACAUCAAAUCGUACCCCA
rnacentral:rRNA from 1 species